UACGAAGGGGACUAGCGUUGUUCGGAUUUACUGGGCGUAAAGCGCGCGUAGGCGGAUCGCUAAGUCAGGGGUGAAAUGCCAAGGCUCAACCUUGGAACUGCCUUUGAUACUGACGAUCUGGAGAUUGGGAGAGGUGAGUGGAAUUCCGAGUGUAGAGGUGAAAUUCGUAGAUAUUCGGAGGAACACCAGAAGCGAAGGCGGCUCACUGGCCCAAUACUGACGCGUGAGA
rnacentral:rRNA from 1 species